CCCAGGAAAAAGGUCUCGGGUUCAAACCCAAUAAAAUAACAGGUCCAAUUGUUUCUCCGGACGGUCCAAUUCCAAACCAUACCUAGGGUUUGCUUAUAUACGUCGCGACGCCCUUCAUAAAACCCUAGGCACAGCGCCAUUUUGCAUCUGGUAUAUCAGGGCAUCAAGGAAGGAGCUUCUAGGACUUUUGCUGCAGCGCCACCAUGAGAGCCAAGUGGAAGAAGAAGCGUAUGAGGAGGUUGAAGAGGAAGCGCCGAAAGAUGAGGCAGAGAUCCAAGUAAUAGCCGAUUUGCAUUGUCAGUAGCAGUGACUUACCGAAGCUCUUCCGCAUGGCAUUUCUGUCUCUCUGAGUUUUUCUUGCUCAUUUAGUCUGUAGGUGUUUUUUUAGUUUCUAUGUGAAACAUUUUGGGCUUUUUAAACCCUUGUUCUUUUCACAGUUUCUAGUAUUUUUAAUUGGCAUUUUGUUUUGUUAAGCUCUAAUUUUCUAAUGAAUUUAAUAGUUUCUUUUUUA